GUCCCGCUGACCGCAUUCGGGAGAUCUAAGAUGGCCGCGAUCCUUUGUUCUCGCCACGUGUUCAUAUGCCGAAUGGCGGCCACCUAGAAGCACUCAAUUACCUUGCGGUUUUCAUGGUUACUUGGUGUUUUAAGUUCUGAUUGAUACCCAGGGUGGUCUCCGUUCGGUAGAACGAAUAAAUGUCCCCAACACAGAAAUAACAACGAAUUCUUUACAGUCACUUAACUAGC